rnacentral:ncRNA from 1 species
CAAGAAACAAUGAAUGACCUAGUAGGUACCUUUUUAAAGAUUAGCGAGCAGGAAGUGGUGAGAGCCUGUCUUUGAAAGCACUGAAUUUCAGUCAGGAGUUCAUCAGUGAAAAGUUGAUGCGGUCUAUCACCGUUAACAGAUAACUGAGGGUAAUCUUUGUAAGAUUACUGAAUUUUUUGGGUGGUACCACGUUAAUUAGCGUCCCUUCG